rnacentral:rRNA from 1 species
CAUAGCCGCGGGAAUACGUGGGUGGCAAGCGUUGUCCGGAAUUAUUGGGCGUAAAGGGCUCGCAGGCGGUUUCUUAAGUCUGAUGUGAAAGCCCCCGGCUCAACCGGGGAGGGUCAUUGGAAACUGGGAAACUUGAGUGCAGAAGAGGAGAGUGGAAUUCCACGUGUAGCGGUGAAAUGCGUAGAGAUGUGGAGGAACACCAGUGGCGAAGGCGACUCUCUGGUCUGUAACUGACGCUGAGGAGCGAAAGCGUGGGGAGCGAACAGGAUUAGAGACCCCGGUAGUCCCUGUCUCUUAUACC